rnacentral:rRNA from 1 species
UACGGAGGGUGCGAGCGUUGUCCGGAAUCACUGGGCGUAAAGGGCGCGUAGGCGGCGCGGGAAGUCAACGGUGAAAGCUUGGGGCUCAACUCCGAGUCGGCCGUCGAUACUCCCUGCUCGAGCACUGUAGAGGCAGAUGGAAUUCCGGGUGUAGCGGUGGAAUGCGUGGAUAGUCGUGAGAACACUAGUGGCGAAGGCGGAUGUCUGGACAGUAUCUGACGCUGAGGAGCGAAAGCGUGGGGAGCGAACAGG